GCAACUCGCCUGCAUGAAGUUGGAAUUGCUAGUAAUCGCGAAUCAGAAUGUCGCGGUGAAUACGUUCCCGGGCCUUGUACACACCGCCCGUCACACCAUGAGAGUCGAUAACACCCGAAGCCUGUGAGCUAACCUUUUAGGAGGCAGCAGUCGAAGGUGGGGGUUGAUGAUUGGGGUGAAGUCGUAACAAGGUAUC
rnacentral:rRNA from 1 species